UGCAGUCGAGCGGUAGAGAGGUGCUUGCACCUCUUGAGAGCGGCGGACGGGUGAGUAAAGCCUAGGAAUCUGCCUGGUAGUGGGGGAUAACGCUCGGAAACGGACGCUAAUACCGCAUACGUCCUACGGGAGAAAGCAGGGGACCUUCGGGCCUUGCGCUAUCAGAUGAGCCUAGGUCGGAUUAGCUAGUUGGUGAGGUAAUGGCUCACCAAGGCGACGAUCCGUAACUGGUCUGAGAGGAUGAUCAGUCACACUGGAACUGAGACACGGUCCAGACUCCUACGGGAGGCAGCAGUGGGGAAUAUUGGACAAUGGGCGAAAGCCUGAUCCAGCCAUGCCGCGUGUGUGAAGAAGGUCUUCGGAUUGUAAAGCACUUUAAGUUGGGAGGAAGGGCAUUAACCUAAUACGUUAGUGUUUUGACGUUACCGACAGAAUAAGCACCGGCUAACUCUGUGCCAGCAGCCGCGGUAAUACAGAGGGUGCAAGCGUUAAUCGGAAUUACUGGGCGUAAAGCGCGCGUAGGUGGUUCGUUAAGUUGGAUGUGAAAUCCCCGGGCUCAACCUGGGAACUGCAUUCAAAACUGUCGAGCUAGAGUAUGGUAGAGGGUGGUGGAAUUUCCUGUGUAGCGGUGAAAUGCGUAGAUAUAGGAAGGAACACCAGUGGCGAAAGCGACCACCUGGACUGAUACUGACACUGAGGUGCGAAAGCGUGGGGAGCAAACAGGAUUAGGAUACCCUGGUAGUCCACGCCGUAAACGAUGUCAACU
rnacentral:rRNA from 1 species